UGGGGAAUAUUGGACAAUGGGCGAAAGCCUGAUCCAGCCAUGCCGCGUGUGUGAAGAAGGUCUUCGGAUUGUAAAGCACUUUAAGUUGGGAGGAAGGGCAUUAACCUAAUACGUUAGUGUUUUGACGUUACCGACAGAAUAAGCACCGGCUAACUCUGUGCCAGCAGCCGCGGUAAUACAGAGGGUGCAAGCGUUAAUCGGAAUUACUGGGCGUAAAGCGCGCGUAGGUGGUUUGUUAAUUUGAAUGUGAAAUCCCCGGGCUCAACCUGGGAACUGCAUCCAAAACUGGCAAGCUAGAGUAUGGUAGAGGGUAGUGGAAUUUCCUGUGUAGCGGUGAAAUGCGUAGAUAUAGGAAGGAACACCAGUGGCGAAGGCGACUACCUGGACUGAUACUGACACUGAGGUGCGAAAGCGUGGGGAGCAAACA
rnacentral:rRNA from 1 species